ACGGAUAUGAUGGAAUUGGUAGACAUGUUAGAUUUAGGUUCUAAUGAUAAAUUAAAUCAUGAGGGUUCAAAUCCCUCUAUCCGUA
rnacentral:tRNA from 1 species